GUCAGCUGGCCCGCCUCGCGUCACACAGCAGCUGAUUGUACCAUUUGCGCAGUGACUUCAAGAUAGAACAUCAUCAAAAUUACAACGAAACAGUGAGUGUCAAAAGUUAGAGGAAUACGUUUACUCAUAAAGAAGUCGAAAUGGUGUGUGCUUGUGUCAUAACAAGACUGAUCCUUGUGUGACUCUUGGCCAGUGUCACCACAACACUGGGACACCACGCCCUCUGUUCUCGCCCAUCAAUUAUGCCAAUACGACGAUCAACCCCAAAGAGUUGAGGAAAUAUAAGGGCGUGUGGUGGGCGUCGUCGAGGUGGGAGGAGCUCUCUGUUCUGGACGAGGGGGCGUGGUCGGUGUCUGUGUCGCUGUUGAAGCUGUCGUCGUAGUCCUCACUCUCCCCGCCGUAUU